rnacentral:rRNA from 1 species
UGGGGAAUAUUGGACAAUGGGCGAAAGCCUGAUCCAGCCAUGCCGCGUGUGUGAAGAAGGUCUUCGGAUUGUAAAGCACUUUAAGUUGGGAGGAAGGGUUGUAGAUUAAUACUCUGCAAUUUUGACGUUACCGACAGAAUAAGCACCGGCUAACUCUGUGCCAGCAGCCGCGGUAAUACAGAGGGUGCAAGCGUUAAUCGGGAUUACUGGGCGUAAAGCGCGCGUAGGUGGUUAGUUAAGUUGGAUGUGAAAUCCCCGGGCUCAACCUGGGAACUGCAUUCAAAACUGACUGACUAGAGUAUGGUAGAGGGUGGUGGAAUUUCCUGUGUAGCGGUGAAAUGCGUAGAUAUAGGAAGGAACACCAGUGGCGAAGGCGACCACCUGGACUGAUACUGACACUGAGGUGCGAAAGCGUGGGGAGCAAACA